UUCACAGCCCUGGGAGAGUGAAGUCUUCUGUUGAUCAACUUGGCAGCAGUGGUACAAACUUCCUUGCACUGCAUAACCCAUGUACCUCAACCCUGACCUGGAGAAGCCCUAGAAAUGAGUGGAGCCUGAUUUUCCCCAUGGCCCUUUCACUCCAUGGUUUCU
rnacentral:sRNA from 1 species